AACGCAUCUUGCGCUCCUUGGUAUUCCGAGGAGCAUGCCUGUUUGAGUGUCAUUUGACUUAUCAACCGCUUCAUGGUGAACAUGGACGUGGCUUUGGAUGUGGGGGUCUUUGCAGGCUUUUUGAAUUCUCAAAGGUCGGCUCCCCUGAAACGCAUUAGUGGCAUCUGAGCUGCUACUUAUAGGUGUGAUAAAUUAUCUAUGCCUUUAGUAUGCUGCAUGAACAGAUUGCGCUGCUUACAACGACGUAAAUAACUUGACAAACUUGACCUCAAAUCAGGUAGGACUACCCGCUGAACUUAA
rnacentral:misc_RNA from 1 species